rnacentral:rRNA from 1 species
AGCGAACGCUAGCGGCGGGCCUAACACAUGCAAGUCGAGCGGGGGAGCAAUCCCCAGCGGCGGACGGGUGAGUAACACGUAGGUUAUGUGCCCUUUGGUGGGGAAUAACCGUGGGAACCAUGGCUAAUUCCGCAUAUCGAGCGAAAUCUUGAAAGCCUUCGGGCGCCAAAAGGAGCAACCUGCGGCCCAUUAGCUUGUUGGUAGGGUAACGGCCUACCAAGGCGAUGAUGGGUAGCUGGUCUGAGAGGAUGAUCAGCCACACUGGAACUGAGACACGGUCCAGACUCCUACGGGAGGCAGCAGUGGGGAAUAUUGCGCAAUGGGCGAAAGCCUGACGCAGCCACGCCGCGUGAGUGAUGAAGGCCUUCGGGUCGUAAAACUCUGUCGGGAGGACGAAGGGGCAACCCUGACGGUACCUCGCAAGAAAGCACCGGCUAACUC